GCUUAACACAUGCAAGUCGAGGGGCAGCAUUAUCGAAGCUUGCUUUGAUAGAUGGCGACCGGCGCACGGGUGAGUAACGCGUAUCCAACCUUCCCCUUAGUAGGGCACAGCCCGGCGAAAGUCGGAUUAAUUCCCUAUGUUGUUUGAUGCUGACAUCAAAGUCAAACCAAAGAUUCAUCGCUAAGGGAUGGGGAUGCGUCUGAUUAGAUAGUAGGCGGGGUAACGGCCCACCUAGUCAACGAUCAGUAGGGGUUCUGAGAGGAAGGUCCCCCACAUUGGAACUGAGACACGGUCCAAACUCCUACGGGAGGCAGCAGUGAGGAAUAUUGGUCAAUGGGCGAGAGCCUGAACCAGCCAAGUAGCGUGCAGGACGACGGCCCUAUGGGUUGUAAACUGCUUUUAUACGGGGAUAAAGUGGGCCAUGCAUGGCCUUUUGCAUGUACCGUAUGAAUAAGGACCGGCUAAUUCCGUGCCAGCAGCCGCGGUAAUACGGAAGGUCCGGGCGUUAUCCGGAUUUAUUGGGUUUAAAGGGAGCGCAGGCGGACAGUUAAGCGUGACGUGAAAUG
rnacentral:rRNA from 1 species